rnacentral:misc_RNA from 1 species
UGCCCUCUUUGGGCAUGGGAUGAACUCGUUGGUGCUUUGCAUGUUCCUUUGUAAGCCAUCGGCUCAUCUCUUGGCCCAUGCUCGGUUACCUGACCCUCGGAUGCUGAAAAUUAAGUGGGCAAGGGGUUGAGAAACCCCUCUGAUAAGCCCGAACCUAGCGCUCGUCGCUCGAACCCGAAAGACGUUGUGGCUCGCCUUGGUGUUCUUGAACCAUGGGUUCUCGUAACGGCCAUGCGUUGUCCCAAUCCUCCCGGAGAAAGCUACCUGGUUGAUCC